UACGUAGGGUCCGAGCGUUGUCCGGAAUUAUUGGGCGUAAAGGGCUCGUAGGCGGUUUGUCGCGUCGGGAGUGAAAACCUACAGCUUAACUGUGGGCUUGCUUUCGAUACGGGCAGACUUGAGGCAUGCAGGGGAGAGUGGAAUUCCUGGUGUAGCGGUGAAAUGCGCAGAUAUCAGGAAGAACACCCGUGGCUAAGGCGGCUCUCUAGUACGGUACUGACGCUGAGACGCGAAAGCGUGGGGAGCGAACAGG
rnacentral:rRNA from 1 species